GCCAUUGUAGAUUGCUACUUCAAAAUAAAAGUAGUUACUAGAUCUGCUGAUAGAUCUUGUAUUUAGUGUUAAUAAAAACACACUUAACAAUUUAAAAAUAUUUUGAUAACUAUUAUUUUAAUGGCAGUUUCCUUUUGCAAACCUAUGUAUUUUAUUCUUUUAAACAUCACUGAGCAGAUUCACAGAUUUCAUCGAAUUGCCAAAGGGGUCCAUGACUCAGAAUGCACUGUGUCUUAAAGCAGGUCCUCCUAAGCAAGGGGUAUUGAAAGGGGAUCCACCUCAGAGACCUAAGACGCAGGUUCUAAUCCUGACAAGUUGCUUGACCUCAGACAGGCUUCUGUCUCUCAUGCCUUCACUUUUAUCUCUAUUAAAAUAGAAGUGGGCCAGGUGCAGUGGCUCACAGCUGUAAAAAGCACUUAGGGAGGCCAAGUGGGGAGGAUAGCUUGAGGCCAGGAGUUGAGACCAGCCUGGGCAACAAAGCAAGAACCCAUCUCUACAAAAAAAAAAAAAAAGCAGCAUCUGAAGCAGCAUGUGGGGAGCAAACGAGAUGCAAUUGUGAAUGUCUCCUGACAGCAGCUUCUCAAGCUCAGGUGAGAGGUUAAGGAAGCUAGUGGAAGGCUGGGUGUGGUGGCUCACACCUCUAAUCCCAGCACUUUGGGAGGCCGAAGUGGGAGGAUCACUUGAGGUCAGGAGUUCAAGACCAGCCUGGGCAACAUGGUGAAACCGUCUCUACUGAAAAUACAAAAACUAGCCAGGCAUGGUGACAUGUGCCUAUAAUCCCAGCUACUCGGGAGGCUGAGACUGCAGGUGCCAGAGUUCAGCACAGCAGGUUUGACUCCCCUGUAUCAGCUGCAUGAUGCUGAGCAAGUUAACAUCUCUGAAGAUCAAUUUUCCCUUGCAAAGAUGAAGGCAAAUGCCUUCCAUUGUGAGGAACCAUCAAAAUAAUGGAGGGGAUACUAGUGAAUGUUAGUGGGCGCCAGUGCUUGUCCCUCCCAUCCAGAGACCUGGUCCCCCCUAUCCAGGAGUCUUGAUUUCAAUGGUCGAAGGCCCUUCCCACAGCUUUCCAGUGAUGCAGACAGGCUGAGGGAUGCUCAUGAGUUCAGCAUCUCCCCUUCCAGGUUUUCACCGGCACAGCCCACUCCAGAGGAACCUGCUUCCCCGUGUCCUUUGUAGAGCUAUGGUGUGUGACUAGGUGGGGAGGCAAGCAGCAGCUUAUGUGCGACUUCCCAGCGGUGUUAAGGACAUGACCUUCUGUCCUAGUUGGCGCUUAAGGUGUCAUCUGAGACUAUGUGUUGAAGAUGUGUGUGGCAGGGGGCAUGGGAAGAUAGAAAUCAUGAUCCCUGCUGAUCAUAAGGCCACAGUACCUAGAUCUUGGUUAUUCCUCCUCCCCCUACAAAAGAAAAAAAGCAAGCAGGGCUCAGGGGGUGGGGGAGACAGAGGGAAGCCAACUUCUCUUAAGUCAGUAGAUUGCAUCAUUAGGCCAAAUGCCUGACAUGACCCAUUUUACAGAAGAGUAAAAUAGACUCAGAUGACAUCCCCCUAGCUGAACGAGGCAGGGAUUUCCCAUCUUCAGCUGCAUUCGCUUAUAACUAAAAAAAAGGUGGCUUCUCAGAGUAGAAGGAUGGUUGCCAGGAGUUGGGGGAAACGGGGAGAUGUUGAUCAAAGGGCACAAUCUUUGUCAUGACAUGAACAAAUUUUGGGUUGUAAGGCACAGCAUGAGUGGUGGCAGCUGUGUUAAUCUGUGGUAGUCAUUACACGAUGCUUAGGUAUUUCCAAUCAACACAUUAUAGACACCGAAUAUAUACAGUCUUUGUCUGUUAAAUAUUUAAAAGAGGCAGCUUUUGGCCAGGCAUGGUG
rnacentral:lncRNA from 10 species